rnacentral:misc_RNA from 1 species
CCGAGGUUGACACUCGGCCUAAACCCCUUAACAUGUGACCACUUGAUUCCUCGCGGAUCAGCCCGCUCCCGGUAAAACGGGACGGCCCGCCAGAGGACCCCUAAACUCUGUUUCUAUAUGUAACUUCUGAGUAAAACCAUAAAUAAAUCA